rnacentral:pre_miRNA from 1 species
CAGAUGAUAUAGAUGAGGCGGAUUUUGACACGAGCAUGUAUCAUUUCAGCGAGCAUAUACCUCCAUCGAGGGAAAGCAAGAGUUUGAGCGAAGCUCCGUUCAUUCAGCGAGCAUGUAUCAUUCUCCGUUCAUUUCAGACCACUCGACCCCUUAGUCGAGUAGGGGACUUCACAACUUCAUCUCACCCCUCGACCCCCUGGUCGAGUAUAUUCACCUCCACCACCUG